rnacentral:sRNA from 1 species
UCAUUCGCCAUCUCUACCUGAUCUCCUUGCAAAACCUCCCUUUUCCCUAUUUCACUCUCCUUCCCCUUCGUCCUAUUCUUCUCCCGCCUCGCCCGUCCUUCCUCCAACAGCAAAAUCUGCUCCGUUGGUGCCUGUCCCAGCGCGGCAGGUGUCCUCUCCCAUGCCGGUUGCUGAAUCAACUGUACACGAAUGUACAUAGCCCGCUCCGCACACUCGUCUGAACACCACUUCUCAAUCUGCUCCUUCGGGACAACCUUCAUCUCCUUUCCGCGGCCGCCAGGCCCGCUUCCCUUCUUCCCCCACACAACCCUGAACCUCGCCCGGGGAUCUUCCUUCCGAUGUUCAUUAGCACAAAGGGCGUAGCCACAGCGGCCGUCAAUGUUCCGCUCUAAGAUGAGAUUGUCAUAGUCGGACGGCUGGAAAGGGAUGAGGGCUUCUUUGAAAGCUUUGACAUCUUCGGGGAGCGGGGAAGAUGCUAAGGCAAUUGGGGAACUGGGGAAGGAGAGGAGCUCUUCGAUGCGGGAGAGGAUGAUAGCCUCAGUGUCUUUGCGGGCUUGGAUCUGACGGGCGUGGUGGAGGGCUAUAGCUAGAUGACGGGGGUCCGGAGCUGGUUUGCGGUGUUUCGUUAUGGCUUUCCGCCUGGCAAAGGUGGUUGUUGUUGCUGUGGGAGAGGGAUUUGUGUUUGCGGACGGUAGGGCUUCUUUAGCGAGAGAGGCGUGGAUUGAGGGGAGUGAUGAUUUCGCGUUGGAGGACUCUUGAGGCGCGAGAUUGUUGGACAUAUUGUCCUGUAUAUGCUGGUAGGAGACAGAAGCGGAUCAAUCAGCUGCGGGAAUGUGGGCUUAUUUUACUCCUUUUUUGCUUCCUCUUCCCUCUCUUCCUCGACCAGUUAGCCUCUUGAUGGGUCGAUACGACGAGG